UUCCCCUCUCUCUCUCUCUCUCUCUCUCUCUCUCUCUCUCUCCCAAGGAACAAAAACCUCAUCUCAUCCCAUCAGAAGCACAAAAAUAGGCAGAUGGAAAGAGAGCAGAAGUAGCAGCAGCAGGAGCAGGAGCAGGUGAUGUGAAAAGAUUUAAGAGAUAUAUGAUCUGAACCUUGAGCUAGAGAACGGGAGAGAUCAAGGAGACACCAAAGAGGACUGGACAAAGGGGAGAAAAGGAAGGAAGGGAGUCGGUGAUGGAGGAGACACUCAAGUCCCUCUCCUUGGACUACCUCAACCUCCUCAUCAAUGGUCAGGCCUUCAGCGACGUCACCUUCAGCGUCGAGGGCCGCCUCGUCCACGCCCACCGCUGCAUCCUCGCCGCCCGCAGCCUCUUCUUCCGUAGCUUCUUCUGCGGCACCGACUCGCCGCCGCCGGGCCUCCUGUCGUCGCCGAGGGGCGGCGGCGGCGGGGCGUCCCCCGGGGCGUCGGGCGGCGCCGUCGUCCCGGUGAAUUCGGUCAGCUACGAGGUGUUCCUGCUGAUGCUGCAGUUCCUGUACAGUGGGCAGGUGUCGGUGGUGCCGCAGAAGCACGAGCCCCGCCCCAACUGCGGCGACCGCGGCUGCUGGCACACCCACUGCGCCGCCGCUGUCGACCUCGCCCUCGACACCCUCGCCGCCGCCCGCUCCUUCGGUGUCAAGCAGCUGGAGCAGAUCACCGAGAAGCAAUUGGCCAGCAUGGUGGAGAAAGCGUCGAUCGAGGACGUGAUGAAGGUCCUGAUGGCGUCGCGGCAGCAAGACAUGCAGCAGCUCUGGGCCACCUGCUCCCACCUGGUCGCCAAGUCGGGCCUUCCGGCGGAGGUGCUCGCGAAGCACCUCCCCAUCGACGUGGUCGCCAGGAUCGAGGAGCUCCGUCUCAAGUCCUCCUUCGCCCGCCGGCCCUCCUUCGUCGCACGCCACCCCCACCAGAUCGAUGUCGCUGGCCCAGCCGCUGACCUCGAGGACCACCACCACAAGAUCCGCCGCAUGCGCCGCGCCCUCGACUCCUCCGACGUCGAGCUCGUCAAGCUGAUGGUCAUGGGGGAGGGGCUGAACCUCGACGAUGCGCUCGCCCUCCACUACGCCGUCGAGAACUGUACCCGAGAGGUGGUCAAGGCUCUUCUCGAGCUGGGCGCGGCCGACGUCAACUGCCCCGCCGGCCCAACCGGGAAGACGCCGCUCCACAUCGCCGCCGAGAUGGUGAGCCCCGACAUGGUCGCCGUCCUACUCGAUCACCACGCCGAUCCCAACGUUCGCACCGUCGACGGCGUGACCCCGCUGGAGAUUCUUCGCACCCUCACCUCCGACUUCCUCUUCAAGGGCGCCGUGCCGGGCUUGUCGCACAUAGAACCCAACAAGCUGCGGCUGUGUCUCGAGCUAGUCCAGUCCGCGGCACUGGUGAUGUCCCGAGAGGAAGCCAAUAGCGGUGGAGGUAAUGGUGGCGCCGGAAACAGCCCGAGAGCGGCCAUCUACCCACGGAUGAAUCCCGAAAUAGCUGCGUGCAGCCUCAGCCUGGAUUCAAGAAUGGUGUAUCUGAAUCUUGGCAUGGCGGCACAAUUCGGGAGCAAGAUGAACGAUGGAGGCGGGGACGAGAGCCUCAGCAGUAGACCUCAAGGUGGUGGCGGCGGCGGCGUUGGCCCAUCAUCCAUCUACCCUUCUCAUGGCUUCCCGUGACUCCAACUCCGUAUGAUCCGGAGGACCACCUGCUUGUCUCUGGUCGCCAUCCAUAUCGCAUUAGUGACAUCAUUCUACAUCCGAUGUAAUCAAUCCCCAGCGCAAGGCGAAAGAGUCAUGGAUUCACAGAAAAGAAUGGAACUGCUGUAUCUUCUUCUUCUUCUUCUUCUUCUUCUUCUUCUUCCAGAGAUUUUGUUCUUGAAGGAACAGGGAGAGGUGCAUCCAGACACAGACCAACAAGGUGUCUUCAUAACUUUCAUUGUGUUGUUGAUUUGUUUUGGAUUGUUGGGUCUUUGGUACCUUCUUUUUCUUCUGGUUUACUGCCUCAGCAUGUGGGUGAUCUGAAGAGGUGGAGACAACAAGAAUCUAAGUAAGCUGUGAAUGGUGGAGGAGAUGCAGAGCUAAUCAUGACUGUUAGCAACUAUAGCUUCUAUGAAUGCUGCUAGUAGGGUUGUCAACAUCUAGUGAGGGGUGGGGGGGUGUGCUACCUCCCUAUUGCCUUUAAGGGGUGUGUGCUUGUCCUCCCUACCAAAGCUUUUUCUUUGGAUAUGGAUAGGUGAAUGAGCAGUCCAACUUCAGCUGUGCUUCAA